GACAGAGGCCCCAAGCGUUAGGCGGAAUCCCUGGGCUUAAAGCGUGUGUAGGCGGAUCGUUAAGUGUCUUGUGAAAUCCCACGGCUCACCCGUGGAACUGCUGGGCAUACUGGCGAUCUUGGGCCAACUAGGGGCAGUCGGAACAAGCGGUGGAGCGGUGAAAUGCGUAGAUAUCGCUUGGAACGCCGAAGGUGAAAACAGACUGCUGGGGUUGUGCCGACGCUGAGACACGAAAGCCAGGGGAGCGAACGGG
rnacentral:rRNA from 1 species